rnacentral:rRNA from 1 species
GAUGAACGCUGGCGGCGUGCUUAACACAUGCAAGUCGAACGAAGCACUUUUAAUUGAUUUCCUCGGAAUGAAGUUACUUGUGACUGAGUGGCGGACGGGUGAGUAACGCGUGGGUAACCUGCCUCAUACAGGGGGAUAACAGUUAGAAAUGACUGCUAAUACCGCAUAAGCGCACAGCAUCGCAUGAUGCAGUGUGAAAAACUCCGGUGGUAUGAGAUGGACCCGCGUCUGAUUAGCUAGUUGGUGGGGUAACGGCCUACCAAGGCGACGAUCAGUAGCCGGACUGAGAGGUUGAACGGCCACAUUGGGACUGAGAUACGGCCCAG